AAAAUGUAACAAGGUUUCCGUAGGUGAACCUGCGGAAGGAUCAUUACCGAGUGUAGGGUUCCUAGCGAGCCCAACCUCCCACCCGUGUUUACUGUACCUUAGUUGCUUCGGCGGGCCCGCCAUUCAUGGCCGCCGGGGGCUCUCAGCCCCGGGCCCGCGCCCGCCGGAGACACCACGAACUCUGUCUGAUCUAGUGAAGUCUGAGUUGAUUGUAUCGCAAUCAGUUAAAACUUUCAACAAUGGAUCUCUUGGUUCCGGCAUCGAUGAAGAACGCAGCGAAAUGCGAUAACUAGUGUGAAUUGCAGAAUUCCGUGAAUCAUCGAGUCUUUGAACGCACAUUGCGCCCCCUGGUAUUCCGGGGGGCAUGCCUGUCCGAGCGUCAUUGCUGCCCAUCAAGCACGGCUUGUGUGUUGGGUCGUCGUCCCCUCUCCGGGGGGGACGGGCCCCAAAGGCAGCGGCGGCACCGCGUCCGAUCCUCGAGCGUAUGGGGCUUUGUCACCCGCUCUGUAGGCCCGGCCGGCGCUUGCCGAACGCAAAUCAAUCUUUUUCCAGGUUGACCUCGGAUCAGGUAGGGAUACCCGCUGAACUUAAGCAUAUC
rnacentral:rRNA from 1 species